AGUGAACGCUGGCGGUAGGCCUAACACAUGCAAGUCGAACGGCAGCACAGUAAGAGCUUGCUCUUACGGGUGGCGAGUGGCGGACGGGUGAGGAAUACAUCGGAAUCUACUUUUUCGUGGGGGAUAACGUAGGGAAACUUACGCUAAUACCGCAUACGACCUACGGGUGAAAGUAGGGGAUCUUCGGACCUUGCGCGAUUGAAUGAGCCGAUGUCGGAUUAGCUAGUUGGCGGGGUAAAGGCCCACCAAGGCGACGAUCCGUAGCUGGUCUGAGAGGAUGAUCAGCCACACUGGAACUGAGACACGGUCCAGACUCCUACGGGAGGCAGCAGUGGGAAAUAUUGGACAAUGGGCGCAAGCCUGAUCCAGCCAUACCGCGUGGGUGAAGAAGGCCUUCGGGUUGUAAAGCCCUUUUGUUGGGAAAGAAAAGCAGCAGGUUAAUACCCCGCUGUUCUGACGGUACCCAAAGAAUAAGCACCGGCUAACUUCGUG
rnacentral:rRNA from 1 species